UUGAAAAGGUUACAGACUGCUGUUGUAAUUUUUUCUUUAUUUUAUAUUCGUUUAUUAGGUGAAACUAGAUGAAUGGAACAGAAAUUGAAAGAAAGACGCGAAAAUUAAAAAAAAAAAAAAAAAAAAAAAAAAAAAAAAAAAAAAAAAAAAAAAAAAAAAAAAAAAAAAAAAAAAAAAAAAAAAAAAAAAAAAAAAGAGGCAAGCUUCAAAGUUUGAG
rnacentral:lncRNA from 1 species